rnacentral:rRNA from 1 species
UCGAGAAUUUUUCGCAAUGGGGGAAACCCUGACGGAGCGACGCCGCGUGGAGGAUGAAGGUCUUCGGAUUGUAAACUCCUGUCAUUGGUGAACAAGGUGCUUCCAUUAACUGUGGAGGUAAUUGCUAGUAGCCGAAGAGGAAGGGACGGCUAACUCUGUGCCAGCAGCCGCGGUAAUACAGAGGUCCCGAGCGUUGUUCGGAUUCAUUGGGCGUAAAGGGUGCGUAGGCGGCUGGGUAAGUUUGAUGUGAAAUCCUGGGGCUCAACCCUGGAACUGCAUUGAAUACUGCUCGGCUUGAGUACUGGAGAGGAAACUGGAAUUUACGGUGUAGCAGUGAAAUGCGUAGAGAUCGUAAGGAAGACCAGUGGCGAAGGCGAGUUUCUGGACAGUUACUGACGCUGAGGCACGAAGGCUAGGGGAGCAAACGG